UACGGAGGGGGCGAGCGUUAUUCGGAAUUAUUGGGCGUAAAGGGCGCGUAGGCGGCCCGGUAAGUCAAAGGUGAAAUCCCUCGGCUCAACUGAGGAACUGCCUUUGAAACUGUCGGGCUUGAGGCCGGGAGGGGGUAGCGGAAUUCCCAGUGUAGCGGUGAAAUGCGUAGAUAUUGGGAGGAACACCAGUGGCGAAGGCGGCUACCUGGACCGGUUCUGACGCUGAUGCGCGAAAGCGUGGGUAGCGAACAGG
rnacentral:rRNA from 1 species